AAGAUAUCAAAAAGUUGUUAACUACAAAAAUGUAGGAAAAGUGAUAAUAAACAUUUUCGUAGUUAACAAAUUUUUGA
ensembl:ncRNA Y53C10A.22 ncRNA